rnacentral:rRNA from 1 species
UACAGAGGUCUCAAGCGUUGUUCGGAUUCAUUGGGCGUAAAGGGUGCGUAGGCGGGUUUUUAAGUCAGGGGUGAAAUCCUGGAGCUCAACUCCAGAACUGCCUUUGAUACUGAAGAUCUCGAGUCCGGGAGAGGUGAGUGGAACUGCGAGUGUAGAGGUGAAAUUCGUAGAUAUUCGCAAGAACACCAGUGGCGAAGGCGGCUCACUGGCCCGGUACUGACGCUGAGGCACGAAAGCGUGGGGGGCAAACAGG